rnacentral:tmRNA from 2 species
GACUUGACAAGUUAGUGUCUGUUAUGGUAUAAAUAUAGAUACAAUUUGUUGAUGCAAGUUGAGAGCUGAUCUGGACGGGGGUGCAAAUCCCCCCAGCUCCACCACAAAUACAUUGGAGAAUAAAAUGGAUUGGAUUACAGCAGACCUUAUAGAUGCAAUAAAUGAAACAUCUUGGUUUGAUGGUAUUGGAACAAUACUUAUUUUACUUGCCACUUAUGCAGCUUAUAAGUGGAUUAAGAAAAAUAUCUAGUGUGUUUGUGAUGGGGCUGAAUAGGUUCGACAGGCAGAGGUAGAUGAGUGGAGAAUUGUCGGGUGAUUCCGUUAUCGGUCAAAACUAUAAAUGCAAACGAAGAUAACUUUGCACUUGAGGAUUAUGCGCUAGCCGCAUAGUUGCUCGGGGUUUUGGUGAGUUCCUAUCAACAGAAUACUCACCACU